rnacentral:rRNA from 1 species
GACAGAGGGUGCGAACGUUGUUCGGAAUUACUGGCGUAAAGCGCGUGUAGGCGGCAGCGCAAGUCGGCGUGAAUCCCACGGCUCAACCGUGGAAGUGCACUCGAAACUGCGCAGCUAGAGUCCUGGAGAGGAAGGUGGAAUGCUUGGUGUAGAGGUGAAAUUCGUAGAUAUCAAGCGGAACACCGGUGGCGAAGGCGGCCUUCUGGACAGUGACUGACGCUGAGACGCGAAGCGUGGGAGCAACAGGAUAAGCAUACCCCGUGUAGUCCA